rnacentral:rRNA from 1 species
UACGAAGGGGGCUAGCGUUGCUCGGAAUCACUGGGCGUAAAGGGCGUGUAGGUGGUUUCGUAAGUCUGGCGUGAAAUAUCUCGGCUUAACCGAGGCAGGUCGUCGGAUACUGCGGAACUAGAGGACGGUAGAGGCGUGUGGAAUUCCGGGUGUAGUGGUGAAAUGCGUAGAGAUCCGGAGGAACACCAGUGGCGAAGGCGACACGCUGGGCCGUACCUGACACUGAUGCGCGACAGCAUGGGGAGCAAACAGG